CACAUAUCAUGUUUGACAAAUGUCUGGAGACAUUUUUCUUGCAACAGCUACCGCGUCCCUUAUUCCUCAGUCAAUGCCACAGGUCCACUCCCAGGGUGUAAAUUGAGAGUAAAACACUAACAUUACUGCACGGAUCAACGUCUGAGCUGACAGAGGCGACAGUAACGGCAUAACCACUGUGCUGGUGAAGGUGACUGAAAAUUACAGCAAGGGCAUCAGACACCUCCUCUGAGCAAGAGGCAGGGCGGUGAGGCACCACGCACCAUGAAGGGCGCGCUGUGGGCUGCAGGUAGCUCUGCGAGGGCAACGCAGUGGUAAAUGAAGGCAUUUUUUAGUCUGUAAUUGGGGUGCAAAGGUGAACGAGAAGCUUAUCUGGGUGUGAGUCGUUCCCCAAGUGUUUCUCUUGUUCCUGUUUUCCCCACAUCUGCUUCUUGUUUGUUAACUAGGGAUGCUCA